CACACAACGGGGUUUCGGGGCUGUGGACCCUGUGCCAGGAAAGGAAGGGCGCAGCUCCUGCAAUGCGGAGCAGCCAGGGCAGUGGGCACCAGGCUUUAGCCUCCCUUUCUCACCCUACAGAGGGCAGGCCCUUCAGCUCCAUUCUCCUCCAAGGCUGCAGAGGGGGCAGGAAUUGGGGGUGACAGGAGAGCUGUAAGGUCUCCAGUGGGUCAUUCUGGGCCCAGAGAUGGGUGCUGAAGCUCCCACGCCUGCCUGUGAAAAUGGAGUCCUCUCUCACCUGGGAGAGCCAGGUGCUGCCCCGAGAAGGAUGCAUUUAUGGCUUCAUGAAGUCUUUCCUGACCCCCGAUGCUGCUGACUAUAGAGACAAAGACUCACUAUGUUGCUCAGGCUGGUCUUGAACUCCUGGCCUCAAGCGAUCCUCCCACCUCAGCCUCCCAAAGUGUUGGGAUUAUAGACAUGAGCCACUGCACCUGGCCGACCUUGGGCAAGUUCUUAAACCCUUCAAAGCCUCAUUUUUCUCCAAUCACAAAAGGGAAAGAUGGUAAUAUUUUCCCCACCAAAUUCUUGUCGGAUGCCCUCACAGAAUUGAGAUUAUGUACGUAAAACACAAGGUGCCUAACCCGGCACAGAGCAGGAGGGCUAAGCGUGACAUCCAGCACGUGGUCAGUGGAAUCCAGUAUUCCUACCCACCUCUCUAGUCUCCCCUCCACCCCUCUCCCUUUCAGAGGCACCAAGCUGCUUGUGGUCUUGUCUGUUCCCACUCCCUGCCUGACUGAACAUUUUCUCCACCUCCUGAUCAUCAGCAGCAGAAACUGGCUGCUCUUCCUGCUGGGUAGACAGCCAGACUGUAUUUCCCAGCUGCCCCUGCAGUGAGAUGUGGCCAUCGGAGCCAGCAUUGGCCAAUGGACUCUGCAUGGGAGUGACGCAUGCUGCCUCCAGGCUUGUCCCUAAAACCUCCCACGUGUCCUCCGCCUGCUCUUCCCACCUCCAAGGAGCACGGCAAUUGUGGAAGACCCAGAUUAGUGAUGGCAGAACCAUAGAUGGGAGGAACCUGGGUCCCUGACUUAAAGUAUCAUGGAUUUGGAUGUUCCCUUAGUGAGAAAUAAACUUCCAUUGUGUUUAAGCCUUUAUUUGUUUAUAGUUGGUUACAGCAACUGCCUUCUUUUAAUUAAAACACUCCUGCUGCU
ensembl:lncRNA FAM138E family with sequence similarity 138 member E